GAUCGAAUCAAGGAGGCUUGGAACCAAUUCAAGAGUUGAAGACUAGUUGAUCGAUUGACGUGCAUGUGCUUGUAAUACGACCUAACUAGAAUCCAUGAUCAUCACCUAUUUAAAGUUUAGCUUUAAUUAUUGUUGCGAUUAUAACUGCCUGCAAUGUGCCGUUUGCAUGUGAUGUGAAUGAGAGUCGGGUAGAUAGGUUUACAUGUGAUGUAGCAAACCCAAUUGAGACCUAAAUUAAAACCUCCUCA
rnacentral:lncRNA from 1 species